AACGCAAACGAGAAAUGAAUGUAUAUGAUAAAUCUUUCCUGUAUUAUGCAAAAAAUUAUACAGAAGCUAUGUUAUGUAUUUUGAAGGAGUGAAGUAUGUAGAGCAGCUGCCGUCACCUCGAAUGAUUAAAUGCCAUCUACAUCACUUUCUUCUUCCGGAACAAUUAAGAAAAGGCAAGGGACGGAUUAUUUAUAUUGCGAGGAACCCAAAGGACGUAGUGGUCUCCUGGUAUCAUGUACUGGAGUGGACAGACGAAUUAGGUGAUACUUUAGACACAUGGGAUACAUUUUUAGAUUCAUUUGUCGAUGGAACCGGAUAUAUCUAAAGCAGUGAAAGAUAUUGCAAAUUUUCUCAGCCGUGAGGUUACGGAUGAUGAUGUGGACAGAAUAAGCAAGUUUGUCAUGUUGACAACAUGAGGAAGAAUGAUGCGAUAACAUGUCUUACUGGAGAAAUAUCAAAAAGGUCAAUGACAACGCUGGUGGACGUUUUAUAAACAAAGGUGUGUGCGUUUCCCGCUUCUACAUAGAAUAGCACUGAUGGCUGGAAUGUUUAACUGAAAACAUUUACACAAUAUUUUUUUCCGAAUUGAAAGCUUAACCUGUACUCAGAGGUAUCAUACAUGAGGUUCAAUGCGAGCUUGGGUAAAUGUGUUAUAUCAAUCAUAAACCUUGUUGCAUUAAACGGUUGUAAUUAAACAUGUCAAAUAGCUAUGAAUUAUUACAUAGCGUUUACGAACUUAAGUUUUUUUUAAAUAAAGAUUUGUUUUUCUAUAUAUUCUGCUUUAAUGCAUUCUUAUCUUUCUCUAUAAGUAAAUCAGGUGUUUGGAAAGAAUUCUUGUCCAACGAUGAAGCGAACAGAAUUGAUGGUCUCCUGGAGUCAAGCAGUCGGGACUUACAUUUGAAGAUUGAAGAUUGAAUUAAAAACAUAAGUUCCUGUAUUAAACAGAUACUGAAUAAAAAAAGCAUUUUAUUUAGAUGGAAGUAGCCGUAAUGGUAAAAUAUCAUGUUAGCUAUGCAACUUGGGGUUUUCGUUAUGCAACUAACUUGAAACAAAACACAAAAAUAUUUUUUGCCUCUCAACUUGACAUUCAAGAACCGUUGACAUUAUGAACCCACGUUCAGUUAAUGAGGUUAAUAUUUUUGUAAAAGGUUAAUUAUGCUAAAAAUAUGUAGCUCUAGGCCUGUCUGUCUGAAAAGUUAACUUGAAAAUUAUAAUAAUAUCUCUUAUAAACUGCUUUUCUAGGAAUCAUUGCAUGAGCGAAACCUUGCACUUUAUGCUUUGUCUACAUUAAUCUUGAAUGUCUGCUUAAAGGGAUUGGCCUCCAGAUCGUUCGACAACAAAAACAACAUUUGUUUAGAUAUCUGGAAAUAAAUGCUAUAUUUCAUAAGAAGGUUUUAAAACUUAAUCACUGACAAACUAUAUUUUACGGAAACGUAUAAGAAUUUGUUGUAUUUACUACCUUUUACGAUGAGAAUUGAAAAGCGUUUGUAACGCUUUUACUCCAGGAAAACUGUCUCGAUUAUUAAUAUCUAUAUUUUGAAGUCAUAAUUCACUAAUUCCGCUAUAGCGCUAUUGGUUACGACGACGGAAAAUGUGUUUAUUGCCGCGGUGGUCCGGGGCUCGAUUCCCGACGCAGUCAUCAUUUUUCUUGAUUUGGAAUUUUUAUAAUAUUUUAGAAACAAAAGCUCAUAUUCUAAUGUUCAUAGUAUGACCAAUUUUCAAUUUGAGAGAAACAUUAUUUUUAGCCAAAUCUGGAGGUCAGUGCCUUUAAAAUAAGCUACAGUUAAGAACUGUUCAAGACAUUACCAGGUUCAGAUUCUUUUUUGAUUCAUAUACAAAUUUAACAGAACAAAAAAUUCUGUUAUUUUUAUCAGCGUUAUUGUUUUGAAAAAUGAAUGUUAUGAAAUAUUUUAACAGU